GAACAGGUUUGAACAGUUGUACAGAUAAAUGUAUUGUUGCGUGGUGUAUCAGGCUGAAUUUGUAAUUAAUUUUUCUUCCCCUAGAUGGCAGUAUAUGGUUUAACCAAUUUUUUUUUUUUUCCCUUCUCAACAGUGGCUUCUUAAUUAUUUGUAAUUACAACGCUUCCUACUAUUGUAGAUGAAUGCUGAAAGAUAUUCAGUAGGAGAACCUCAGGUGGGUCUGGAUGGUGAAGGAGAUCGUGCCAAUUAUAAAUAAUUAAAGCUCUGUCCAGAAUGUCCCAGAGGACAUGAGACCGUGAAGCUGCUUCUUUACCACAAUACUAGCAUCUAUCAGGGAAUCCUGGUUUGUAACCAUAAUAUGCAGCUUUGUAUGUGAGAGAACUAUAUGUUCUUUAUUAUUAUAUGAGUAGGGGGUUUAAUAACCAGACAGUGAACUACUGGGAACUGAGCACAAAAUUCUAGCCAAGCUGUGACUAUAAUUUAGUUGGAUAUUUGUUUGCAUAUUAGCAACUUUUACAAUUCUGUUUUCCAUGUGUUAAAGUGCAUUGAUUAGCGAAUAAUUCACGGUGUGGACCAUUCUGUAUGGUUACUACGUGAAAUGUAUUUGUAUGUGAAAAUAAAAAAUCUGCCCUUCUGUGUGCUACAGAACCUAGCGUAUCGUGUUAUGAGCGUUUUUGCUGCAGAUGGUAUAUAUGUGACAGUUGGGUUGGCUCGAAGUACCUAUGCAAGAGUAGUAUCAUGUUUGUCUCCCAGUGAGCAGAGCAGUGUGAGUUUUUAUUAUUGCAUUAAGCUGAUAAAAAUGCAGAUCGGGCAACCCCCCUGUCGAAUUCAUGCGAACGAGAGUUGUGCGAACGUACUGUAUAUGGAGUGAAAAGUGAAUGGACUUACUGUUUGCGUUGAAAACUGCCGAAAGGACCCGUUCGACUGUGUAAUACUCACUGCCUGAGCGUUCUUUGAGCGUCGCGAGAGUAUGACGUCAGAGGUCUGUGUUCGCCGGAAGCGAAGAGAAUUUCCAGAAUCGUCGAAGACAGGUAAGCCUGGGUUUGCUGGGUUUAUAUAGGCCUAAAUCCCUGCCACAACUACAGUCUCUCUCUCUUCCCCUCUUCCCCCUCUCCCCCUCUCCCCCUCGAAGACAGGUAAGCCUGGGUUUGCUGGGUUUAUAUAGGCCUAAAUCCCUGCCACAACUACAAUCUCUCUCUCUCUCCCUCUCCCUCUCCCUCUCCCUCCCUCCCCUCCCCCUCUCCCCCCACUCUCCCCCUCUUCCCCCCUCUAGAGUUAGGUUUUUAAAACCUGUCAUAUACAUGUAUGUACUUCAAUCACCACCCAAGAAAGUUCUCUUACCUUGGAUAUUAUUCUGUCUUCAGGCUGUGGAAUUCCAGCAGUCUUUAUACAGCCAGGAUAUCCAUUAUUAGUGCAUUUUGCUGAGUCUUCAGGGCUUAGAGGCUGAACCCCGGCAGGGGUAUUGCCCGGUGAGCAUAAAAAAAAAAAAAUCUAGGCCUGCUUAAGCAGACUCCUUCCAAACUGCUGUGAAAGACAGAAAAAAAGACUGCCUGAUGGGAAGGGGGAGGAUCUAUUUAUACCAAUUUCAAUGUUCUCUUUCCUGUCCUUUCUGCUGUAAGGGGAGGAGCUAACCCAUGAGUAAAUGUUGUUGUUUUUUUUACAGUUUUUUUCAAUUAUAAUGUGUGCAUAAUUAGUGCAGGUUAAGGAAAGUAAUUAAAAAUUAAUUAAUUUAGUUGUUCUGAUUUACAGAAUAUAUAAUGUGUCUGGGAUUUUAAGUUUUUUUUGGUAGUUACAGGUCACAAAGCACAAGGAGUAAAAUAAACUUUUAAUGUGGUGCGAUUUUAGAAUUUGGUAUGUUUGUUUUGUAAGCUUAGUAGCCAUAAAAGAAAACAAAAUUGCCAUACAAAAGUAUAUAUUUAUAUAAAGAAGACAUCACAGGCUAUUUACCUAGGGUUGUUUUGAUACUUUCUACAUAGCCAUUUCACUGCCAAUCUCUGCUAAAUAUUGGAGUAAAAUUGUGUUUUGUUUUUUUUUUGGUUUUUGGCACACAAACUUAUAACAAAGAACUUCUCAUGUUUAUUUUGUUAAGUUGGUGUGUGCUAUUCCUGUACAAAGUUUUAUUUUGUGUUCAGUUACAUCUGCUGAGUAAAAUGAUACCCCCAUUGUAUGUCUUUGGCACUAUUUCGUGAAGUUACAGUGCCAUAUAGGAGAUCUGUCCUUUUCAGUAUUCACAGUAGAAUUUUGAGAGACGGAUUUAAUGAGCCUAUGCUUCCAUUUGGGGUAUUAUAGCAGUUUAACUGUUCAAAAAAAACCCACAAAGGCCUACCAUUUGUAAAAGUAGACACUCCAGGGUAUCUCAUAAGGUGCAUAUUGUGCCUUAACAUGCCCCCAUUUAUUCACCAAUAUAUGCUAAAGCAUGUAAUAAAAAAUCAUUUUGUGCGUUUUUUACAUAUGGAUUGCAAUUGCAGUAUAUUUUGCAAACCUUAUGUGUGCUGCCAGUGUAUAAUACUUCAUAUGUUGCUCAGCUAUGUCGGCUGAGUACAGCAAUACCCCUGUAUGUACCUUUGCCAGGUAUAUGUGGAUGUUGAAGGGGCGCAUUUGAAACGCAGCCAUUCAGUUUUUUUCUAACUUUGAAGUUUUAUGCUGUGUUCAUGUUCCAAUUUGGAGUAGUUUAGACGGUUGGUUAUUGAAACUUCCCCACAAACACAUACUAUUUAUUAAAGAAUACACCCUGGGGUAAUUCAAAAGACAUAUUUUGAACCUUAGCGUGGGAUCAUUUUUUUUCUAGCUUGUUUCAGGUGUAGUGGUAAUGAGCGUUUUUAAAUGUAUUUUUUUUACUUUUUGAAACUUUUUUACUUUUAAAAACUAGUUUUUAAACUUUUGUUUUGCUUAUUAAUUUAUUAAACUUUCUUAAACUUUUUUAAAUUUUUUUUACAGAUUUAACAUUUUUCUAAGCUUUUUUUUUUUUUACCAUUAACCCCUAACUAGCAGUAAGCAGCACUAACAGUAAAUUCCCCAUUUUCCUAUAAUUCCCACCCACCCCAGCUAGCAAAAUAUAUAGUUAUAAAAUAUUUAAAUUAAAUAAAUUGAACCCCUGAGGGUUAAAAAAUAAUAACAAGUUAAUCCUCAGGGGUUAAAAAAAGAUUAGAUCACAGUAUAAUACUGUGAUCUGUAUUUUGAUCACUGUAGGCAGUGAUCGACUGGCAGGGAAGGUGUUAAUUUUUAUUUGGACUGGGUAAAGGGGGGUGUCUUUUUUUUUUUUUUUUCUUAAACAUUAUUAAAAAACAUUUUAGCUUCAUUUUUAACUUUUUAAUGUUUAUUUUAAAACUUUUUUUAACGUUAACCCCUAGGUAGCCUAACACCAAAUCCCCCAAUUCCCCACUAACUUCCACCCACACCAGCUAGCUAAAUAUAGAAUUUUUAAAUAUUUAAAUUAAAGGGUUAAAAAAAAAAUUAACCCUCAGGGGUUAAAAAAAAAAAACAGAUGACAGUAAAAUGUAAUCCCUGCCAAUUGAUCACUGAAGUCAGUGAUCAAUUGGCAGGGAUGGGGUUAAUUUUUAAUUAAAAUGAGUAAAGGGGGGUGGGAUUUUAAAUAAACAUUAAUUUUUAUUUUUUUAACAGAGGGCAGGAUCAGCACUGUUCCAGCUCCCUGCACUUCACACAGAACCAGGAAGUGCAGGGAGGCGGAAGCUGAGUAUAUGCAGCCUGUCAUAGCGAGCACAUGUGCUGGGGCAGCCAGAUCGGGUGCGAUUGCGGCGAUCCGGGGUUAAUUUUAACGGGUGACGGACAAGGUCAGUCACUCGUCGUUAUGGCAAACCCCUGAGUGACGGACCUCGUCCGUCACUCGUCGUUAAGGGGUUAAUCCUUCUGCCAUUGCAAUAGAUUAAAGACUGUACCUGAGUAAGCAAAGUCAUUAUGUGCAGGAAUUGUGCACUUUAAAUGGUAGAAUACUUAUGUUAUUCUAGUUAAUUGGGCUGGCUGCUUAACACAUCAUUUAGUAUCUUUUGGUUACAUUUAAAGCUGUAAAUGUAUUUAACAUUUUAUUUAAAUAAGCCUUUCAACAAUUUCAGUUUAAAAGUUAUCAGAGAUCCUGUAGAGUUACAAAUUUAUUUUGCGCUGAUUUAUUUUGCAUAUAUAUAUUAUUUUUUCAUUAUUUUUUUUGCAGAGCAUUUAGAGAAGCAAAGGAUGUAUAACAACUAGAGUUGAGCAGACACCUGGUUGUUCGUGUCCGGCGGGUUCGGCUGAACUUUGAAAAAAAAGUCCGGGUUCGGGCUUGAACUUGAUCCCGAACUUGACCCCGAACCCAAACCCCAUUGAAGUCAAUGGGGACCUGAACUUUUGGGCACAAAAAUGCCUCUAAAAAACUCCUGGAAAGGGCUAGAGAGCUGCAAAAGGAAGUAAAAUGGGGGUAAGAGUAGGACAAGUGCCCUGCAAACAAAUGUGGAUAGGGAAAUCACUUAAAAUAACAUAAAAAUUAAAAAUACAGCUGAACCAUAAAAUAGCACUAGAUGGAAUCUUUGAUUUUACCUUUGGAAGAACAUAAAUCAAAAUCUAAAGCAUGGCUGUCAGGAGGAUCAUCAGAAUUAUCCAUUUUAGAGAGGGUUGGAGUGCAGGGUAUUCUCUUUCAUUGCUCAAACUGAGCUCAACUCCUGAUGCAUGGAGAAAAGGUCUUUACAAGCCUCUGCUAAUGUGUACAUAGUUUAUACUAAGUGACCCAUAGGUUGAGGAGGCGGUGACCGUGGCGGUGCAGGUGG
rnacentral:lncRNA from 1 species